UUUAAAUUUUAAAACAUUUAACCUAGAUUUUUAAACAAAUGUGUAUUCUAUAGUUGCAUACCUAUCAUAAAUAAUAAUUUAGUAAAUAAUUAAAUUAUAUUAUCUAUAACUAAAGCCAAUAAAGACAUAGGAGACCUUACAUUCCUUACAUACAUAAUAAUAGCAUGGUUAAUUUUAACAAAAAAUGUAAACUUUUUACACAGAUUUUACACUUUAGUGUAGAUUCAACACCAACAAAUUUUAUAGUAUGAAAUAUAUGUAGUAUGCCCUAUCAAAAGUUUAAUUUUAAAGGGAACACAACUAAUAUAUGAAUACUAUGUAUGUACGAUACAUGUAAUACAAACUUAAAAACAAAUUAAAUUAUGCUCAAUAUGAGUUAAAUUGCUAACAUUUACUACU